rnacentral:rRNA from 1 species
AUUGAACGCUGGCGGCAUGCUUUACACAUGCAAGUCGAACGGCAGCGCGGGCUUCGGCCUGGCGGCGAGUGGCGAACGGGUGAGUAAUGCAUCGGAACGUGCCCAGUAGUGGGGGAUAGCCCGGCGAAAGCCGGAUUAAUACCGCAUACGACCUGAGGGUGAAAGCGGGGGACCGAAAGGCCUCGCGCUAUUGGAGCGGCCGAUGUCGGAUUAGCUAGUUGGUGGGGUAAAGGCUUACCAAGGCGACGAUCCGUAGCUGGUCUGAGAGGACGACCAGCCACACUGGGACUGAGACACGGCCCAGACUCCGAGGGGGGGCAGCAGGGGGGAAUUUUGGAAAAGGGGGGCAACCCUGACCCAGCCAUGCCGGGGGCGGGAAGAAGGCCUGCGGGUUGUAAACCGCCUUUGUUGGGGAAGAAAUCCUCUGGGCUAAUACCCCGGGGGGAUGACGGUACCGGAAAAAUAAGCACCGGCUAACUACGU